GAUGAACGCUGGCGGCGUGCUUAACACAUGCAAGUCGAACGAAGAGCGAUGGAAGCUUGCUUCCUUCAGUUUUAGUGGCGCGCGGGUGAGUAACGCGUAAUCACAACGCCCUUCACAGGGGGACAACAGUUGGAAACGACCGCUCAUACCGCAUACGAUCUAAUCUCGGCAUCGAGGAUAGAUAAAAGGUGGUCUCUACAGGUAAACUAUCACUGAAGGAGGGGAUUGCGUCUGAUUAGCUAGGGGGAGGGGUAACGGCCCAGCAAGGCGAUGCUCAGUAGCGGGUCUGGAAGGAUGAACGGCCACACUGGGACUGAGACACGGCCCAGACUCCUACGGGAGGGAGCAGUGGGGAAUCGUCCGCAAUGGACGAAAGUCUGACGGAGCAACGCCGCGGGAGGGAGGACGGCCUUCGGGUUGUAAAUCUCUGUUAAUCGGGACGAAAGGCAUGCUUGCGAAUAGUGAGAAGGAUUGACGGUACCGGAAGAGAAAGCCACGGCUAACUACGUG
rnacentral:rRNA from 1 species